rnacentral:lncRNA from 1 species
CGUCAUCACCAUCACUUCUCCCCUAGAGGUGUCAUCGCCAUCCCAAACUCUGAAAAACAACUCUGACUUCGCCAAAGGCGAUCAUCAAACCAACCCACCCUGAAUAGGCCGUGCGGAAUCACAUGAAGAUCCACAUCGGACCUCAGCCACUACAACAAGAAAGCACAGCUCUAACACCAACAGAGAGCUACGAAUGAACCAAGCAGCUGUGAAGUCGAAGCUACAGUGGCAGGGCCCGGUGGCAUAUGCUGACGAGUAGGUGGUCCGUUCGGUGAUCUUCCUCAACACGUAGUAUGACUUCAGUGCACACGACACAGUAUAUGCCCCCCUGGAGACCGACAACAGAACAACAGUUCCACAAGCAUGAGCACACUUGAAUUCAGGUGAGAGUGUGACUACUCCCAUUCCUGUCACGUAGAAAGAAGAAAACUCCCGUUUCGUACAGAAAUUCCAUGAGAAGCAAAAUGGCGCCACGUCGUAUUAUUUGUAUUCUUCGUUCUACGAAUCAGCAAAACCAGAUCACGACUCGGACACGAUUCACAUGGAGCACCUAUCUCACGCUUUUUCGACGCGGUAGCCAGGCUGCCUCUCUUCCUCAUCACUUAUUUAAGACGCCCAUCUGGGUUAAAAAGUCGUGACCGAACAAUGACCGGCGGUAUGUAAGGCCUUCCACAGCGUAGCCGGUGCCAAAUACAUCAAAAGGCAGCCACCUCAUCACCGGUGCCCAAAAUUGCUUUUCAGGCAUCGAUCUCACAACGUAGGGCUUCGGCAGGAAAAAGAUUUUGGGACCCAUAUGAUAAACAAGUACACCACGCUGCUGUGUAUUGAGCAAAGAGAGAGAAGACAUUUGCUGUUCAAAGUUGAGAGUUAAUAGUAUUUUAUUGGCUGGAGGAAUUGGGCAUCGUGUUCUUACUUGCUCCGAUGCCAUGAAAAUUUUGUUGGGGCACCGGCCUCACAACGUGAGGGCACCGGCUAUCGGUGCCAGAAGUUAAUUUGGCACCUCUUUUGGCCUACAUAAUGGAAGGUCUAAGAGGUGGGUUUGAGAGAUCGGUAGUAGAUGCUCUUAAUAAGCUAGUACUAGAAGAAGAACAUGUAUAGGGGAGGAAGGGGACAUAAGUGAAUCCCGAACGGAAGCACGUACCUGCGGGUGAUGGCCGAGUCGAGAAGCACGGUCGACGUUCGUGAUCGAGUUGGCGCCGUGCCGGAGCUAAUUCAAGGGAAUGCCGCCGCCUUCCAACCGGAGACGAGACUGUAUUAUGUGGCUGACAACCUGCGCAGCUUUCAAACAUGGUGGCUCCUUUUGGAAAAGGCUCGGAGUGGAGACCCCAACCGUGUCACUCGUGUCAUACAUAUGCACCUUACAAAGGGCUGCGAGCUUUACUACACAGAUGUGUUGGGUGUACAUUUGGUUUUAACAAAUUUGAGACCUUAUCUUUUUUUUUGUUGGGUUUGCUGCUUUUAUGUCAUUUUAAAUACAUAUGUGUAUGCUGUCAAUACACUAUAGAUUAACAUACACUAGUGUCAAAAACGCUUUUAUAUUAUAAAACGGAGGGAGUAGUCUGAUUUUCUCAACACGUAAAUUUUUUUUUAAAUGGAGGCAAAAGAUUUGGCUCAUUCAUUAAUUAAGCAGAAAAGAACUGCCCAGUUAAUUAAUGAAAAACCAGGCGAAAAUCAUCACAAACUACUGAGUGACACCAAUGAAAGACCUACACGCGCCACUCACAAGAGGGCCUCGUCAAGACUGCACGUCGACAUCAUCGCCAUCACUUCUCCCCUAGAGGCAUCAUUGCCAUCCCAAACUAUGAGAAACGACUCCAACUUCACCUCAAGAGGGCCUCGUCAAGACCGCACCUCGAGCGUCAUCACCAUCACUUCUCCCCUAGAGGUGUCAUCGCCAUCCCAAACUCUGAAAAACAACUCUGACUUCGCCAAAGGCGAUCAUCAAACCAACCCACCCUGAAUAGGCCGUGCGGAAUCACAUGAAGAUCCACAUCGGACCUCAGCCACAACAACAAGAAAGCACAGCUCUAACACCAACAGAGAGCUACGAAUAAACCAAGCAGCUGUGAAGUCGAAGCUACAGUGGCAGGGCCUGGUGGCAUAUGCUGACGAGUAGGUGGUCCGUUCGGUGAUCUUCCUCAACACGUAGUAUGACUUCAGUGCACAUGACACAGUAUAUGCCCCCCUGGAGACCGACAACUGAACAACAGUUCCACAAGCAUGAGCACACUUGAAUUCAGGUGAGAGUGUGACCACUCCCAUUCCUGUCACGUAGAAAGAAGAAAACUCCCGUUUCGUACAGAAAUUCCAUGAGAAGCAAACUGGCGCCACGUCGUAUUAUUUGUAUUCUUCGUUCUACGAAUCAACAAAACCAGAUCACGACUCGGACACGAUUCACAUGGAGCACCUAUCUCACGCUUUUUCGACGUGGUAGCCAGGUUGCCUCUCUUCCUCAUCACUUAUUUAAGACGCCCGUCUGGGUUAAAAAAUCGUGACCGAACAAUGACCGGCGGUAUGUAAGGCCUUCCACAGCGUAGCCGGUGCCAAAUACAUCAAAAGGCAGCCACCUCAUCACCGGUGCCCAAAAUUGCUUUUCAGGCAUCGAUCUCACAACGUAGGGCUUCGGCAGGAAAAAGAUUUUGGGACCCAUAUGAUAAACAAGUACACCACGCUGCUGUGUAUUGAGCAAAGAGAGAAGACAUUUGCUGUUCAAAGUUGAGAGUUAAUAGUAUUUUAUUGGCUGGAGGAAUUGGGCAUCGUGUUCUUACUUGCUCCGAUGCCAUGAAAAUUUUGUUGGGGCACCGGCCUCACAACAUGAGGGCACCGGCUAUCGGAGCCAGAAGUUAAUUUGGCACCUCUUUUGGCCUACAUAAUGGAAGGUCUAAGAGGUGGGUUUGAGAGAUCGGUUGUAGAUGCUCUUAAUAAGCUAGUACUAGAAGAAGAACAUGUAUAGGGGAGGAAGGGGACAUAAGUGAAUCCCGAACGGAAGCACGUACCUGCGGGUGAUGGCCGAGUCGAGAAACACGGUCGACGUUCGUGAUCGAGUUGGCGCCGUGCCGGAGCUAAUUCAAGGGAAUGCCGCCGCCUUCCAACCGGAGACGAGACUGUAUUAUGUGGCUGACAACCUGCGUAGCUUUCAAACAUGGUGGCUCCUUUUGGAAAAGGCUCGGAGUGGAGACCCCAACCGUGUCACUCGUGUCAUACAUAUGCACCUUACAAAGGGCUGCAAGCUUUACUACACAGAUGUGUUGGGUGUACAUUUGGUUUUAACAAAUUUGAGACCUUAUCUUUUUUUGUUGGGUUUGCAGCUUUUAUGUCAUUUUAAAUACAUAUGUGUAUGCUGUCAAUACACUAUAGAUUAACAUACACUAGUGUCAAAAACGCUUUUAUAUUAUAAAACGGAGGGAGUAGUCUGAUUUUCUCAACACGUAAUUUUUUUUAAACGGAGGCAAAAGAUUUGGCUCAUUCAUUAAUUAAGCAGAAAAGAACUGCCCAGUUAAUUAAUGAAAAACCAGGCGAAAAUCAUCACAAACUACUGAGUGACACCAAUGAAAGACCUACACGCGCCACUCACAAGAGGGCCUCGUCAAGACUGCACGUCGACAUCAUCGCCAUCACUUCUCCCCUAGAGGCAUCAUUGCCAUCUCAAACUAUGAGAAACGACUCCAACUUCACCUCAAGAGGGCCUCGUCAAGACCGCACCUCGAGCGUCAUCACCAUCACUUCUCCCCUAGAGGUGUCAUCGCCAUCCCAAACUCUGAAAAACAACUCUGACUUCGCCAAAGGCGAUCAUCAAACCAACCCACCCUGAAUAGGCCGUGCGGAAUCACAUGAAGAUCCACAUCGGACCUCAGCCACUACAACAAGAAAGCACAGCUCUAACACCAACAGAGAGCUACGAAUGAACCAAGCAGCUGUGAAGUCGAAGCUACAGUGGCAGGGCCCGGUGGCAUAUGCUGACGAGUAGGUGGUCCGUUCGGUGAUCUUCCUCAACACGUAGUAUGACUUCAGUGCACACGACACAGUAUAUGCCCCCAUGGAGACCGACAACAGAACAACAGUUCCACAAGCAUGAGCACACUUGAAUUCAGGUGAGAGUGUGACCACUCCCAUUCCUGUCACGUAGAAAGAAGAAAACUCCCGUUUCGUACAGAAAUUCCAUGAGAAGCAAAAUGGCGUCACGUCGUAUUAUUUGUAUUCUUCGUUCUACGAAUCAGCAAAACCAGAUCACGACUCGGACACGAUUCACAUGGAGCACCUAUCUCACGCUUUUUCGACGCUGUAGCCAGGCUGCCUCUCUUCCUCAUCACUUAUUUAAGACGCCUGUCUGGGUUAAAAAAUCGUGACCGAACAAUGACCGGCGGUAUGUAAGGCCUUCCACAGCGUAGCCGGUGCCAAAUACAUCAAAAGGCAGCCACCUCAUCACCGGUGCCCAAAAUUGCUUUUCAGGCAUCGAUCUCACAACGUAGGGCUUCGGCAGGAAAAAGAUUUUGGGACCCAUAUGAUAAACAAGUACACCACGCUGCUGUGUAUUGAGCAAAGAGAGAGAAGACAUUCGCUGUUCAAAGUUGAGAGUUAAUAGUAUUUUAUUGGCUGGAGGAAUUGGGCAUCGUGUUCUUACUUGCUCCGAUGCCAUGAAAAUUUUGUUGGGGCACCGGCCUCACAACGUGAGGGCACCGGCUAUCGGAGCCAGAAGUUAAUUUGGCACCUCUUUUGGCCUACAUAAUGGAAGGUCUAAGAGGUGGGUUUGAGAGAUCGGUUGUAGAUGCUCUUAAUAAGCUAGUACUAGAAGAAGAACAUGUAUAGGGGAGGAAGGGGACAUAAGUGAAUCCCGAACGAAAGCACGUACCUGCGGGUGAUGGCCGAGUCAAGAAACACGGUCGACGUUCGUGAUCGAGUUGGCGCCGUGCCGGAGCUAAUUCAAGGGAAUGCCGCCGCCUUCCAACCGGAGACGAGACUGUAUUAUGUGGCUGACAACCUGCGCAGCUUUCAAACAUGGUGGCUCCUUUUGGAAAAGGCUCGGAGUGGAGACCCCAACCGUGUCACUCGUGUCAUACAUAUGCACCUUACAAAGGGCUGCGAGCUUUACUACACAGAUGUGUUGGGUGUUCAUUUGGUUUUAACAAAUUUGAGACCUUAUCUUUUUUUUGUUGGGUUUGCAGCUUUUAUGUCAUUUUAAAUACAUAUGUGUAUGCUGUCAAUACACUAUAGAUUAACAUACACUAGUGUCAAAAACGCUUUUAUAUUAUAAAACGGAGGGAGUAGUCUGAUUUUCUCAACACGUAAGGGCUUCUUUGAUUCAAAGGAAUUGCAUAGGAUUUUUGGAGGAUUUGAAUCCUUAGGAAUUUUUCCUGUGAUGCUCGUUUGAUUCGUAGGAUUGGCAUCCUUAGGAAUUUUUCCAUAGGAUCCAUUUGUACUACAUUUUGGAGGAAAAUUUGCAUCCACUGAAACCUCUUUGUAGGAUUCCUUUGUUUUUCCUGCGCUAUCAAACAUUCUUUGAGAUCCUGUAGGAUACUAUGGGACAUGUCAUCCUAUUCCUGCAUUUUUCCUAUUCCUUCAUUUUGACAAUCCUGCGAAUCAAAGAGGCCCUAAAUUUUUUUUUAAACGGAGGCAAAAGAUUUGGCUCAUUCAUUAAUUAAGCAGAAAAGAACUGCCCAGUUAAUUAAUGAAAAACCAGGCGAAAAUCAUCACAAACUACUGAGUGACACCAAUGAAAGACCUACACGCGCCACUCACAAGAGGGCCUCGUCAAGACUGCACGUCGACAUCAUCGCCAUCACUUCUCCCCUAGAGGCAUCAUUGCCAUCCCAAACUAUGAGAAACGACUCCAACUUCACCUCAAGAGGGCCUCGUCAAGACCGCACCUCGAGCGUCAUCACCAUCAUUUCUCCCCUAGAGGUGUCAUCGCCAUCCCAAACUCUGAAAAACAACUCUGACUUCGCCAAAGGCGAUCAUCAAACCAACCCACCCUGAAUAGGCCGUGCGGAAUCACAUGAAGAUCCACAUCGGACCUCAGCCACUACAACAAGAAAGCACAGCUCUAACACCAACAGAGAGCUACGAAUGAACCAAGCAGCUGUGAAGUCGAAGCUACAGUGGCAGGGCCCGGUGGCAUAUGCUGACGAGUAGGUGGUCCGUUCGGUGAUCUUCCUCAACACGUAGUAUGACUUCAGUGCACACGACACAGUAUAUGCCCCCCUGGAGACCGACAACAGAACAACAGUUCCACAAGCAUGAGCACACUUGAAUUCAGGUGAGAGUGUGACCACUCCCAUUCCUGUCACGUAGAAAGAAGAAAACUCCCGUUUCGUACAGAAAUUCCAUGAGAAGCAAAAUGGCGCCACGUCGUAUUAUUUGUAUUCUUUGUUCUACGAAUCAGCAAAACCAGAUCACGACUCGGACACGAUUCACAUGGAGCACCUAUCUCACGCUUUUUCGACGCGGUAGCCAGGCUGCCUCUCUUCCUCAUCACUUAUUUAAGACGCCCGUCUGGGUUAAAAAAUCGUGACCGAACAAUGACCGGCGGUAAGGCCUUCCACAGCGUAGCCGGUGCCAAAUACAUCAAAAGGCAGCCACCUCAUCACCGGUGCCCAAAAUUGCUUUUCAGGCAUCGAUCUCACAACGUAGGGCUUCGGCAGGAAAAAGAUUUUGGGACCCAUAUGAUAAACAAGUACACCACGCUGCUGUGUAUUGAGCAAAGAGAGAGAAGACAUUUGCUGUUCAAAGUUGAGAGUUAAUAGUAUUUUAUUGGCUGGAGGAAUUGGGCAUCGUGUUCUUACUUGCUCCGAUGCCAUGAAAAUUUUGUUGGGGCACCGGCCUCACAACGUGAGGGCACCGGCUAUCGGAGGCAGAAGUUAAUUUGGCACCUCUUUUGGCCUACAUAAUGGAAGGUCUAAGAGGUGGGUUUGAGAGAUCGGUUGUAGAUGCUCUUAAUAAACUAGUACUAGAAGAAGAACAUGUAUAGGGGAGGAAGGGGACAUAAGUGAAUCCCGAACGGAAGCACGUACCUGCGGGUGAUGGCCGAGUCGAGAAACACGGUCGACGUUCGUGAUCGAGUUGGCGCCGUGCCGGAGCUAAUUCAAGGGAAUGCCGCCGCCUUCCAACCGGAGACGAGACUGUAUUAUGUGGCUGACAACCUGCGCAGCUUUCAAACAUGGUGGCUCCUUUUGGAAAAGGCUCGGAGUGGAGACCCCAACCGUGUCACUCGUGUCAUACAUAUGCACCUUACAAAGGGCUGCGAGCUUUACUACACAGAUGUGUUGGGUGUACAUUUGGUUUUAACAAAUUUGAGACCUUAUCUUUUUUUUGUUGGGUUUGCAGCUUUUAUGUCAUUUUAAAUACAUAUGUGUAUGCUGUCAAUACACUAUAGAUUAACAUACACUAAUGUCAAAAACGCUUUUAUAUUAUAAAACGGAGGAAGUAGUCUGAUUUUCUCAACACGUAAGGGCUUCUUUGAUUCAAAGGAAUUGCAUAGGAUUUUUGGAGGAUUUGAAUCCUUAGGAAUUUUUCCUGUGAUGCUCGUUUGAUUCGUAGGAUUGGCAUUCUUAGGAAUUUUUCCAUAGGAUCCAUUUGUACUACAUUUUGGAGGAAAAUUUUCAUCCACUCAAACCUCUUUGUAGGAUUCCUUUGUUUUUCCUGCGCUAUCAAACAUUCUUUGAGAUCCCGUAGGAUACUAUGGGACAUGUCAUCCUAUUCCUGCAUUUUUCCUAUUCCUUCAUUUUGACAAUCCUGCGAAUCAAAGAGGCCCUAAAUUUUUUUUUAAACGGAGGCAAAAGAUUUGGCUCAUUCAUUAAUUAAGCAGAAAAGAACUGCCCAGUUAAUUAAUGAAAAACCAGGCGAAAAUCAUCACAAACUACUGAGUGACACCAAUGAAAGACCUACACGCGCCACUCACAAGAGGGCCUCGUCAAGACUGCACGUCGACAUCAUCGCCAUCACUUCUCCCCUAGAGGCAUCAUUGCCAUCCCAAACUAUUGAGAAACGACUCCAACUUCACCUCAAGAGGGCCUCGUCAAGACCACACCUGGCGCGUCAUCACCAUCACUUCUCCCCUAGAGGUGUCAUCGCCAUCCCAAACUCUGAAAAACAACUCUGACUUCGCCAAAGGCGAUCAUCAAACCAACCCACCCUGAAUAGGCCGUGCAGAAUCACAUGAAGAUCCACAUCGGACCUCAGCCACUACAACAAGAAAGCACAGCUCUAACACCAACAGAGAGCUACGAAUGAACCAAGCAGCUGUGAAGUCGAAGCUACAGUGGCAGGGCCCGGUGGCAUAUGCUGACGAGUAGGUGGUCCGUUCGGUGAUCUUCCUCAACACGUAGUAUGACUUCAGUGCACACGACACAGUAUAUGCCCCCCUGGAGACCGACAACAGAACAACAGUUCCACAAGCAUGAGCACACUUGAAUUCAGGUGAGAGUGUGACCACUCCCAUUCCUGUCACGUAGAAAGAAGAAAACUCCCGUUUCGUACAGAAAUUCCAUGAGAAGCAAAAUGGCGCCACGUCGUAUUAUUUGUAUUCUUCGUUCUACGAAUCAGCAAAACCAGAUCACGACUCGGACACGAUUCACAUGGAGCACCUAUCUCACGCUUUUUCGACGCGGUAGCCAGGCUGCCUCUCUUCCUCAUCACUUAUUUCCACCAUGGAGAUGGUGGCCUCCAUCAGGCCGUAACUUUCUUCGACGUCACUGAGUUGCAGAUGGUGGCAAAGUCCGG